GGCAAGAUGGCCGAGUUGGUUAUGGCGUGAGGUUAAGGUGUACCUUAGCAAACAAACAAAUUUCCUCAUGGAGCAAUCCGCGUGGGUUCAAGUCCCACUCUUGUCA